rnacentral:rRNA from 1 species
UACGUAGGGAGCAAGCGUUGUCCGGAUUUAUUGGGCGUAAAGAGCUCGUAGGCGGUCUGUCGCGUCUGCUGUGAAAACUCGGGGCUUAACCCCGGGCCUGCAGUGGGUACGGGCAGACUAGAGUGCGGUAGGGGAGACUGGAAUUCCUGGUGUAGCGGUGAAAUGCGCAGAUAUCAGGAGGAACACCGGUGGCGAAGGCGGGUCUCUGGGCCGUAACUGACGCUGAGGAGCGAAAGCGUGGGGAGCGAACAGG